CGGCAAUAGCUCAAAUUUGAAAUCUGGCUUUCUUUGGGAGCCCGAGUUGUAAUUUGCAGAGGGUGCUUUGGCUUUGGUAGCGGUCUAAGUUUCUUGGAACAGGACAUCACAGAGGGUGAGAAUCCCGUAUGUGAUCGCUCUCCAUCGCCGUGUAAAGCCCCUUC
rnacentral:rRNA from 1 species